GAUACAUUGCUGGAAUCCCAUUUAGAAAUAAGCAGUUUCUCUUUCGUUGAAUUUUAAGAGUAUCGCCGGUCUUGAUUUUUCAACUUUCAGUAAGAUCAUUCUGAGUUUUGCCAUUGGAGAUACAUUGUUUUAUAUCACAGAAAGCCUUUCGUGCAGGGAAAACAAUAUUUUCCAUAUUCAGAACACGCUUUUGUUUACCACAUGUACGACCCCCUCCAACUGACCCAUAACAGUGUCAAAUUAAUAAAAAAAGAUUUACAACUGGAAACUGUAAAGCAUGUGUUAUCCAGUACAGGUAUACUGAAAACGAGUACACCAGAAGUUACUGGCAUGCAUUGAACAUGAUUUCAGAUGAGAAUUUUCUCCUAAAAUGCAGUCGUUAUCGAAAAGAGUUGACAUUGCAGUUGUUAUGCUAUCCAUGAACGUCAUUUGUCAUGGAUCUUUUCAUCUAAUCUGUUCACGACUUAUCGACAAGAGUGAAUCGAUUAAUAUUCUAAUCGAAACAGAGGGGGAGGAUUUUACUUGCAAAUAUCGAGAUGGCGCGUCCAAUACAACAUACGGAAUAGGGGAGUGUAUAUAUUCGGUUUCAACGUGUUUCCCUCCUAAUGAACCAGUGUCAGGACUGACAUUUGAUUAUAGCGCUACUCUGACUAGUGGAAUUCUUACUGUCUUAAAUGUUAAUAAAGCUAUACAUGGAACAAUUUGCUGCUACAAGACAUACAACGUGCUGAUAAAUGCCUCAUUAGAGUUUACAGACGAUUGCACAAUACCAAACAACGGCACUUCUUCUGUAGACAACACGUCAGAAAGCAAGCUGGCCAUCAUUCUCGGUCCUAUUUUGGGGGGAGCAAGCGUAUUGAUACCGAUUGUCAUCGCGUGUAUGUGCUGUAGAAGAAAAUAUGAAACUGAUUAUCAAGCGAAUACAAUGAUCACAAUGGAAGAUUUAGACAGAUAGUCCCCUCACAAAGCAAGUGGUAGGCGACAAUUGUUACCGCGGGCUACGUUUUUAAAUGGCAAAACUGAAACACAGGAUUUGUAACGCCUUCGGCUGAGGAAUAGCAGUAAUAAUUCGUCAAAUUAUAUGCAAUAUUGGGAUAUAUAGACAACUGUUCUUGGAUGAUGGUUUAUCUGACAACAUGACGAGAUUAUAUUAUGCAAAAUGAAAAACAAUAAAUGAAUGGAUUUCAACGUG